UACGUAGGUGGCAAGCGUUGUCCGGAUUUACUGGGCGUAAAGAGCGCGCAGGCGGUCGUAUAAGUCGAAUGUGAAAGCCCCCGGCUCAACUGGGGAGGGUCAUUCGAUACUGUUCGACUCGAAGGCAGGAGAGGGAAGUGGAAUUCCGGGUGUAGUGGUGAAAUGCGUAGAUAUCCGGAGGAACACCAGUGGCGAAGGCGACUUUCUGGCCUGUUCUUGACGCUGAGGCGCGAAAGCUAGGGUAGCAAACGGG
rnacentral:rRNA from 1 species